rnacentral:rRNA from 1 species
UACGUAGGUGGCAAGCGUUGUCCGGAAUUACUGGGCGUAAAGCGUGCGUAGGCGGGUCUUUAAGUCAGAGGUGAAAUCCUGGAGCUCAACUCCAGAACUGCCUUUGAUACUGAAGAUCUUGAGUUCGGGAGAGGUGAGUGGAACUGCGAGUGUAGAGGUGAAAUUCGUAGAUAUCGGGAGGAACACCAGUGGCGAAGGCGGCUAUCUGGACGUCCACUGACGCUGAGGCGCGAAAGCGUGGGGAGCAAACAGG